rnacentral:rRNA from 1 species
GUGCCAGCCGCCGCGGUAAUACGUAGGGUGCAAGCGUUGUCCGGAAUUAUUGGGCGUAAAGAGCUCGUAGGCGGCUUGUCGCGUCGGCUGUGAAAACCCGGGGCUCAACCCCGGGCCUGCAGUCGAUACGGGCAGGCUAGAGUCCGGUAGGGGAGACUGGAAUUCCUGGUGUAGCGGUGAAAUGCGCAGAUAUCAGGAGGAACACCGGUGGCGAAGGCGGGUCUCUGGGCCGGAACUGACGCUAAGGAGCGAAAGCGUGGGGAGCGAACAGGAUUAGAAACCCCAGUAGUCC